GUGGGGAAUAUUGCACAAUGGGGGAAACCCUGAUGCAGCGACGCCGCGUGCGGGAUGAAGGCCUUCGGGUUGUAAACCGCUUUCAGCAGGGACGAAAUUGACGGUACCUGCAGAAGAAGCACCGGCUAACUACGUGCCAGCAGCCGCGGUAAUACGUAGGGUGCAAGCGUUGUCCGGAAUUAUUGGGCGUAAAGAGUUCGUAGGCGGUUUGUCGCGUCCGUUGUGAAAGCUUGGGGCUCAACCCCAAGUCUGCAGUGGAUACGGGCAGACUAGAGUCAGGUAGGGGAGAACGGAAUUCCUGGUGUAGCGGUGAAAUGCGCAGAUAUCAGGAGGAACACCGGUGGCGAAGGCGGUUCUCUGGGCCUGUACUGACGCUGAGGAACGAAAGCGUGGGGAGCGAACAGGAUUAGAAACCCCGGUAGUCC
rnacentral:rRNA from 1 species